UAAAUGCGUACAAUGCAAGUGAUCCUGUGUGUGGCGUGUGUACGGUGGGCAUUCGCCAAAAGCAAACCCGAAAAAAGGCACAAUCUUUUGAAGCUUGUUAUAACGAGCGGAAAUGCAACAUUUAUUUACGUUUUCCUUUUCUUUUUUGUAUUUUUCCUUUCCUAAACCCUUCAUCCUGAAGUCCUCUCGAGCCGCGGGGGCCAGGUCCAGCAAGUAGCGAUUCUUUUUGGAGCAUCCUUAUUCGCCGGUGGGUUUCAAUUGCACUUCAACAGGCCUGUUCUUGCGGCUACUUUUUUAUUUAUGUCGAGGUACACACCGCACAUACGCGGCUGUGUGCGGAUGCGAGUUCUUAGUGUACGAAUGUCAAGCGAAACUCUUUAACGGUUGCAGGGAAUGGCUGCAUGCUGAAAAGAGCAACACACAACACUUGACUCUCGGACCGUAAGGACCUGGCCGGCACUCGAGCAUUGCGAUUCGUCAUGCGGUGUGGAGUGUUUCCGUUAGUAGGGUUUUAGAAAAACCUGUUAACCUACUCAUCUAUCCGGCUGCUGCAGGAAGAAGCGG